UACGGGGGGGGCAAGCGUUGUUCGGAAUUACUGGGCGUAAAGGGCUCGUAGGCGGCCAACUAAGUCAGACGUGAAAUCCCUCGGCUUAACCGGGGAACUGCGUCUGAUACUGGAUGGCUUGAGUUCGGGAGAGGGAUGCGGAAUUCCAGGUGUAGCGGUGAAAUGCGUAGAUAUCUGGAGGAACACCGGUGGCGAAGGCGACGUCCUGGACCGGCAUUGACGCUGAGGCGCGAAAGCCAGGGGAGCAAACGGG
rnacentral:rRNA from 1 species